rfam:Pelodiscus sinensis unplaced genomic scaffold scaffold2110, whole genome shotgun sequence.
GGCUCUGUGGUGCAAUGGAAAGCAUGUUGGACUUCUAAGCUGUAGUGGUUAACAUGAGCCCAGCAAAACAUUCAAAGGCUGUGGGUUCAAGUCCCAGCAGAGUCA